rnacentral:snRNA from 1 species
AUGCUUGCUUCAGCAGCACAUAUACUAAAAUCGGAGCAAUACAAAGAAGAUUCCCACAGUCCUUGUACAGUGAUGCCAUGCAAAUUCAUGAAACGUUCUAUAUUUAA